CGUUACAGGUUCUCGGUGUGCUUCUGC
rnacentral:rRNA from 1 species